rnacentral:rRNA from 1 species
UACGGGGGGGGGCAAGCGUUGUUCGGAAUUACUGGGCGUAAAGGGCGCGUAGGCGGCCUGCUAAGUCGGACGUGAAAUCCCCCGGCUCAACCGGGGAACUGCGUCCGAUACUGGUGGGCUCGAAUCCGGGAGAGGGAUGUGGAAUUCCAGGUGUAGCGGUGAAAUGCGUAGAGAUCGGGAGGAACACCAGUGGCGAAGGCGGCUACCUGGACCAGCACUGACACUGAGGCACGAAGGCCGGGGGAGCGAACGGG